rnacentral:rRNA from 1 species
CCUACGGGAGGCAGCAGUGGGGAAUAUUGGACAAUGGGCGAAAGCCUGAUCCAGCCAUGCCGCGUGUGUGAAGAAGGCCUUCGGGUUGUAAAGCACUUGCAGUGGGGAAGAAAGCCUUGGGGCUAAUACCCUCGAGGAAGGACAUCACCCACAGAAGAAGCACCGGCUAACUCCGUGCCAGCAGCCGCGGUAAUACGGAGGGUGCGAGCGUUAAUCGGAAUUACUGGGCGUAAAGCGCGCGUAGGCGGUCUGAUAAGCCGGUUGUGAAAGCCCCGGGCUCAACCUGGGAACGGCAUCCGGAACUGUCAGGCUAGAGUGCAGGAGAGGAAGGUAGAAUUCCCGGUGUAGCGGUGAAAUGCGUAGAGAUCGGGAGGAAUACCAGUGGCGAAGGCGGCCUUCUGGACUGACACUGACGCUGAGGUGCGAAAGCGUGGGUAGCAAACAGGAUUAGAUACCCCUGUAGUC